rnacentral:rRNA from 1 species
UAGUGGUGAAAUGCGUAGAGAUCCGGAGGAAUACCAGAGGCGAAGGCGACAUCCUGGGGUUGAAUUGACACUGAGACGCGAAAGCGUGGGUAGCGAACGGGAUUAGAAACCCCGGUAGUCCACGCCGUAAACGAUGCACACUAGAUGUCCGACGUAGGUUGGGUGUCGAAGCCAACGCGAUAAGUGUGCCGCCUGGGGAGUACGGUCGCAAGGCUAAAACUCAAAGGAAUUGACGGGGGCCCGCACAAGCAGCGGAGCGUGUGGUUUAAUUCGAGGCUACGCGAAGAACCUUACCUAGGCUUGAUGCAAGUGGUACGGAGAUGAAAGUCGAAGGACCCUUCGGGGAGCUUGAACAGGUGCUGCAUGGUUGUCGUCAGCUCGUGCCGUGAGGUGUUCGGUUAAGUCCGCAAACGAGCGCAACCCACGUCGUUAGUUACAAGUGUCUAACGAGACAGCCCGUGACAAACGGGAGGAAGGUGUGGAUGACGUCAAAUCAGCAUGGCCUUUAUGUCUAGGGCUACACACACGCUACAAUGGUCAGUACAGUGGGUGGCGAAGCCGCGAGGUGGAGCGAAUCCUGAAAAGUUGAUCGUAGUUCGGAUUGUAGGCUGCAACUCGCCUGCAUGAAGUUGGAGUUGCUAGUAAACGCGUAUCAGCACGGCGCGUUGAAUACGUUCCCGGGCCUUGUACACACCGCCCA